rnacentral:rRNA from 1 species
GUCUAUGGCCAUGCCACCCUGAACAAGCCUGAUCCCGUCUGAUCUCGGAAGCUAAGCAGGGUCGGGCCUGGUUAGGACUUGGAUGGGAGACCACCUAGGAAGACCAGGUGCUGUAGGCG